rnacentral:rRNA from 1 species
GACGAACCGUGCAAACGUUAUUCGGAAUCACUGGGCUUAAAGGGUGCGUAGGCGGCGCGGAAAGUUGGGUGUGAAAUCCCUCGGCUCAACCGAGGAAUGGCGCCCAAAACUACCGUGCUCGAGGGAGACAGAGGUGAGCGGAACUUAGGGUGGAGCGGUGAAAUGCGUUGAUAUCCUAAGGAACACCGGUGGCGAAAGCGGCUCACUGGGUCUCUUCUGACGCUGAUGCACGAAAGCUAGGGUAGCGAACGGG